CUACGGGGCGCUCCAGUGGGGAAUAUUGCACAAUGGGCGCAAGCCUGAUGCAGCGACGCCGCGUGGAGGAUGAAGGCUUUCGAGUUGUAAACUCCUGUUAAGUGGGAAGAAAGAGUUCGGGUUAAUACCCCGAAAAGAUGACGGUACCACUAGAGAAAGCACCGGCAAACUUCGUGCCAGCAGCCGCGGUAAUACGAAGGGUGCGAGCGUUAUUCGGAGUUACUGGGCGUAAAGAGCAUGUAGGCGGUUUAUUAAGUCAGUCGUUAAAUUUCACGGCUUAACUGUGAUUAUGCGGCUGAACUGGUUGACUAGAGCAUAGAAGAGAGAAGUGGAAUUCCCGGAGUAGCGGUAAAAUGCGUAGAUCUCGGGAGGAACACCGGUUGCGAAGGCGGCUUCUUGGUCUAUUGCUGACGCUAAAGUGCGAAAGCGUGGGGAGCAAACAGGAUUAGAUACCCCCGUAGUC
rnacentral:rRNA from 1 species